rnacentral:rRNA from 1 species
CGCAAGCCUGACGGAGCAACGCCGCGUGAGGGAGGAAGGCCUGUGGGUUGUAAACCUCUUUUCUCAGGGAAGAAGCUCUGACGGUACCUGAGGAAUCAGCAUCGGCUAACUCCGUGCCAGCAGCCGCGGUAAGACGGAGGAUGCAAGCGUUAUCCGGAAUUAUUGGGCGUAAAGCGUCCGCAGGUGGCUAGUCAAGUCUGCUGUCAAAGACCAGGGCUUAACCCUGGGCCGGCAGUGGAAACUGAAUGGCUAGAGUGCCGUAGGGGUAGAGGGAAUUCCCGGUGUAGCGGUGAAAUGCGUAGAGAUCGGGAAGAACAUCGGUGGCGAAAGCGCUCUACUGGACGGCAACUGACACUCAGGGACGAAAGCUAGGGGAGCG